rnacentral:rRNA from 1 species
GUCUGGUUAAUUCCGAUAACGAACGAGACUCUUACUUGCUAAAUAGUCGCCGGGCCGUUCCUCGGCCCGGUACCGACUUCUUAGAGGGACUAGUGGCGUUUAGCCACACGAGAUUGAGCAAUAACAGGUCUGUGAUGCCCUUAGAUGUUCGGGGCCGCACGCGCGCUACACUGACCGGAUCAUCGUGUGCUGUCCUUGGCCGAAAGGUCUGGGUAAUCCGUUGAACCCCGGUCGUGCUAGGGAUAGGGACUUGCAAUUGUUUCCCUUGAACGAGGAAUUCCCAGUAAGCGCGAGUCAUUAGCUCGCGUUGAUUACGUCCCUGCCCUUUGUA